ensembl:lncRNA
GCAUGAUAUCAGAGAAUCAGCGUGGAGGGGACGCGCGAGUUCUUUAUCAGCAGAUUUCCUGCAGCUGAGCGUGAUGUCUGUAGCGCCGGGACAUUUUAUCCACAAUGUAAUUAACUAUUAGAUCAAUAUAUAAUCUACAGCGUAUAUAAGUGGAUAGAGUUUGGGGGGGGGCACCAGACAGACAGACAGACAGACAGACAGCAUGGGAACCCUUUCAUGUAUAAUAUUGUCAAUGUUUAGAGCCCUAGAGUAAUGGACAGACAGACAGAUGGACAAAUGAAUGGACAGAGAGACAGAAGGAUGGGCACACAGACGGAUGGACGGACAGGUGGUUAGACAGACUGACGGACAUACGAUUGGACAGGCAGAUGGAUGGUGGAUGGGAAGACCGACAGUCAAACAAAUGCAUGGAUGGACAGAUAUACAGAAGGAUGGAUAGUCAGAUGGACAGGGAGACAAAUGCGCAUCUAGAUGGUCAGAUGGACAGACACAAAUGAAUUGAUGGACAGCUUGGUCAGACAGAUUGAUGGACGGAUGGACAUAUGGAUGAAUGGGCAGAUGAAUGGACAAUCCAAACCGACGGAUGGACAGACAGACAGUUGAAUGGAUGGGCGUUCAGAAAUGACAGACGCGCAGACGAACUGACGGGCAGGUACACAGACGGUCAGAUGGACGUACAGAUGGACAGAUUGAUGGACGCACAGACAGACCGACAGGUAGAUGAAUAAUAACAUGCGUGCAUAAAUAAUAGACAUAUAACAGUAUAUCAUCUUUCAAAUCCAUUCUAAACUCCAUGCUAAGCAGGUCGGAAUGAUGUACAGAACGUGACAGCUAGAGACAGGGCAAGCUCUUUUCUGUGAGGGCUGUUGUGUUUGAGUGCGCUACUGGGAGAGACAUUUGUCCUCUGGCUCUCAGCACACACUGUCUUCACAUCUGAGAACUCACCUCAAUCAAAAUGUACACACACGGCACUGCGACAUGAAAGCCUACGGCUAUGAAUUUUUUUUUUUCUCUUGAAAGGCGAUGCAUACAGUAAACCAGGAUGCCCUACCGCAUUGGCUAUACACACAGGAGACAUUUUUCCAACAUCAUGUCAUUGUUUUGUUUUUAUUUUAUUUCAUUUUAUCUCUCAAAGAGAUGUGCAGCAGUGCCACAGGCUACACUUUUUCUUUCUCCCCCCAUGUUGACGUGAUGCAAUUAAGACCAACCAAUCUUCCCUUUCUCCUCCUCCUCCCCCCC